rnacentral:rRNA from 1 species
CCUACGGGAGGCAGCAGUGAGGAAUAUUGGUCAAUGGACGAGAGUCUGAACCAGCCAAGUAGCGUGAAGGAUGACUGCCCUAUGGGUUGUAAACUUCUUUUAUAUGGGAAUAAAAUGUUCCACGUGUGGGAUUUUGUAUGUACCAUAUGAAUAAGGAUCGGCUAACUCCGUGCCAGCAGCCGCGGUAAUACGGAGGAUCCGAGCGUUAUCCGGAUUUAUUGGGUUUAAAGGGAGCGUAGGUGGAUUGUUAAGUCAGUUGUGAAAGUUUGCGGCUCAACCGUAAAAUUGCAGUUGAAACUGGCAGUCGUGAGUACAGUAGAGGUGGGCGGAAUUCGUGGUGUAGCGGUGAAAUGCUUAGAUAUUACGAAGAACUCUGAUUGCGAAGGCAGCUCACUGGACUGCAACUGACACUGAGGCUCGAAAGUGUGGGUAUCAAACAGGAUUAGAUACCCCUGUAGUC